rnacentral:rRNA from 1 species
GACGAACGCUGGCGGCGUGCUUAACACAUGCAAGUCGAGCAGUAAGGCCCUUUCGGGGGUACACGAGCGGCGAACGGGUGAGUAACACGUGGGUGACCUGCCCUCAGCUCUGGGAUAAGCCUGGGAAACCGGGUCUAAUACUGGAUAUGACUCCAUGACGCAUGUUGUGGGGUGGAAAGCCUUGUGCGGCUGAGGAUGGGCCCGCGGCCUAUCAGCUUGUUGGUGGGGUGAUGGCCCACCAAGGCGACGACGGGUAGCCGGCCUGAGAGGGCGACCGGCCACACUGGGACUGAGACACGGCCCAGACUCCUACGGGAGGCAGCAGUGGGGAAUAUUGCGCAAUGGGCGAAAGCCUGACGCAGCGACGCCGCGUGAGGGACGAAGGCCUU